UACGGGGGGGGCAAGCGUUGUUCGGAAUUACUGGGCGUAAAGGGCUCGUAGGCGGCCAACUAAGUCGGAUGUGAAAUCCCCAGGCUCAACCUGGGAACUGCAUCCGAUACUGGAUGGCUUGAAUUCGGGAGAGGGAUGCAGAAUUCCAGGUGUAGCGGUGAAAUGCGUAGAUAUCAGGAGGAACACCGGUGGCGAAGGCGGGUCUCUGGGCCGAAACUGACGCUGAGGAGCGAAAGCGUGGGGAGCGAACAGG
rnacentral:rRNA from 1 species